GGACAGUAAAAAACGACGUAUAUCGCGAGCCACCAACAACAGUAGAGGAUAUGCGAGAACGCAUUAUUAAUGCAUGCUGCUAUAACUCCGGACAUGCUUCAGAACGCUAAUCGUUCGUUCGUUAAGAGGUUACGCAGUUGCAUUGAGAAUGACGGACGUCAGUUCGAACAAUAUUUGAAAUAAUAAAAGCGUUGGACAUUCUAUCGAAAUCCGGGAAAAAAUGUUGAGCAUCCCAUUUAAAAAACUGAAGGUGACCUUCAUACUUCGA